AUACUACAUUAGAACAACCUGUGGAAGCAUUCACGAAUAUUACAUACAGCCACCAGGUGGAUGAUCUCUCAAGGAUGUAUAGGCUAUUUUGUAGAAGAACUAGAGGCUUAGAUCCCGUUUCUCAAAUAUUUAAGCAGCAUGUUACUACUGAAGGAACCGCCUUGGUUAAACAAGCAGAAGAUGCCGCAAGUAACAAGAAAGUGAGUUCUUCUCAUUUUCGUAGUCUGAAACAUUGUUGGUUUAUCUAGCUAGGAUAGAAUACAAUAGUGGGACAAAUUCAUGUAGUCGACCCCAAUUAAUUGGGAUGAGGCUUAGAUGAU